GAUGAACGCUAGCGGCAGGCCUAAUACAUGCAAGUCGAACGGUGGUAGCAAUACCAUAGUGGCGCACGGGUGCGUAACGCGUAGCCAACCUGCCCAGACCUGGGGGAUAGCCCGCCGAAAGGCGGAUUAAUACCGCAUAAGACAAUGGCCUGGCAUCGGGCAGUUGUUAAAGAUUUAUCGGGUUUGGAUGGGGCUGCGUGUCAUUAGCUAGUUGGCGGGGUAACGGCCCACCAAGGCGACGAUGACUAGGGGGGCUGAGAGGCUGGUCCCCCAAACGGGGACUGAGAUACGGGCCCGACUCCUACGGGAGGCAGCAGUAGGGAAUAUUGGGCAAUGGGCGAGAGCCUGACCCAGCCAUGCCGCGUGCAGGAAGAAGGCUUUCUGAGUCGUAAACUGCUUUUGCCAGGGAAGAACAAGCGGGACGUGUCCCGCCCUGACGGUACCUGGUGAAUAAGCACCGGCUAACUCCGUGCCAGCCGCCGCUGUAA
rnacentral:rRNA from 1 species